rnacentral:snRNA from 1 species
UAACUCUUUUUUUUCUUCAGAUCGUGUAAAUCUUUUUGCCUUUUACUAAAGAUUUCCACGGAGAGGAACAACAAGGUGUUAUUUUUGGGGGGGCAGUAGUGGCUUA